AGAGUUUGAUCCUGGCUCAGGAUGAACGCUGGCGGCGUGCCUAAUACAUGCAAGUCGAGCGAACGGACGAGAAGCUUGCUUCUCUGAUGUUAGCGGCGGACGGGUGAGUAACACGUGGAUAACCUACCUAUAAGACUGGGAUAACUUCGGGAAACCGGAGCUAAUACCGGAUAAUAUUUUGAACCGCAUGGUUCAAAAGUGAAAGACGGUCUUGCUGUCACUUAUAGAUGGAUCCGCGCUGCAUUAGCUAGUUGGUAAGGUAACGGCUUACCAAGGCAACGAUGCAUAGCCGACCUGAGAGGGUGAUCGGCCACACUGGAACUGAGACACGGUCCAGACUCCUACGGGAGGCAGCAGUAGGGAAUCUUCCGCAAUGGGCGAAAGCCUGACGGAGCAACGCCGCGUGAGUGAUGAAGGUCUUCGGAUCGUAAAACUCUGUUAUUAGGGAAGAACAUAUGUGUAAGUAACUGUGCACAUCUUGACGGUACCUAAUCAGAAAGCCACGGCUAACUACGUGCCAGCAGCCGCGGUAAUACGUAGGUGGCAAGCGUUAUCCGGAAUUAUUGGGCGUAAAGCGCGCGUAGGCGGUUUUUUAAGUCUGAUGUGAAAGCCCACGGCUCAACCGUGGAGGGUCAUUGGAAACUGGAAAACUUGAGUGCAGAAGAGGAAAGUGGAAUUCCAUGUGUAGCGGUGAAAUGCGCAGAGAUAUGGAGGAACACCAGUGGCGAAGGCGACUUUCUGGUCUGUAACUGACGCUGAUGUGCGAAAGCGUGGGGAUCAAACAGGAUUAGAUACCCUGGUAGUCCACGCCGUAAACGAUGAGUGCUAAGUGUUAGGGGGUUUCCGCCCCUUAGUGCUGCAGCUAACGCAUUAAGCACUCCGCCUGGGGAGUACGACCGCAAGGUUGAAACUCAAAGGAAUUGACGGGGACCCGCACAAGCGGUGGAGCAUGUGGUUUAAUUCGAAGCAACGCGAAGAACCUUACCAAAUCUUGACAUCCUUUGACAACUCUAGAGAUAGAGCNNNNNNNNNNNNNNNNNNNNNNNNNNUUCCCCUUCGGGGGACAAAGUGACAGGUGGUGCAUGGUUGUCGUCAGCUCGUGUCGUGAGAUGUUGGGUUAAGUCCCGCAACGAGCGCAACCCUUAAGCUUAGUUGCCAUCAUUAAGUUGGGCACUCUAAGUUGACUGCCGGUGACAAACCGGAGGAAGGUGGGGAUGACGUCAAAUCAUCAUGCCCCUUAUGAUUUGGGCUACACACGUGCUACAAUGGACAAUACAAAGGGCAGCGAAACCGCGAGGUCAAGCAAAUCCCAUAAAGUUGUUCUCAGUUCGGAUUGUAGUCUGCAACUCGACUACAUGAAGCUGGAAUCGCUAGUAAUCGUAGAUCAGCAUGCUACGGUGAAUACGUUCCCGGGUCUUGUACACACCGCCCGUCACACCACGAGAGUUUGUAACACCCGAAGCCGGUGGAGUAACCUUUUAGGAGCUAGCCGUCGAAGGUGGGACAAAUGAUUGGGGUGAAGUCGUAACAAGGUAGCCGUAUCGGAAGGUGCGGCUGGAUCACCU
rnacentral:rRNA from 1 species